GACGAACGCUGGCGGCGUGCUUAACACAUGCAAGUCGAACGGAAAGACCCUGCUUUUGUGGGGUGCUCGAGUGGCGAACGGGUGAGUAACACGUGAGUAACCUGCCCUUGACUUUGGGAUAACUUCAGGAAACUGGGGCUAAUACCGGAUAGGAGCUCCUGCUGCAUGGUGGGGGUUGGAACGUUUCGGCGGUUGGGGAUGGACUCGCGGCUUAUCAGCUUGUUGGUGGGGUAGUGGCUUACCAAGGCUUUGACGGGUAGCCGGCCUGAGAGGGUGACCGGCCACAUUGGGACUGAGAUACGGCCCAGACUCCUACGGGAGGCAGCAGUGGGGAAUAUUGCACAAUGGGCGGAAGCCUGAUGCAGCAACGCCGCGUGCGGGAUGACGGCCUUCGGGUUGUAAACCGCUUUCGCCUGUGACGAAGCGUGAGUGACGGUAAUGGGUAAAGAAGCACCGGCUAACUACGUG
rnacentral:rRNA from 1 species